rnacentral:rRNA from 1 species
GACGAACGCUGGCGGCGUGCUUAACACAUGCAAGUCGAACGGAGUGGCGAACGGGUGAGUAACACGUGGGUGACCUGCCCUGCACUUCGGGAUAAGCCUGGGACAAUGGGUCUAAUACCGGAUAGUGUGGGAUGGGCCCGCGGCCUAUCAGCUUGUUGGUGGGGUAAUGGCCUACCAAGGCGGCGACGCGUAGCCGGCCUGAGAGGGUGGGCGGCCACAGUGGGACUUAGAUACGGCCCCGGCUCCUACGGGAGGCAGAAGGGGGGAAUAUGGCACCAUGGGCGGAAGCCUGAUGCAGCGACGCCGCGUGGGGGAUGACGGCCGUAGGGUUGUAAACCGCUUUCAGCCAUGACGCGGUAGUGGAAGAAGAAGCACCGGCUAACUACGUGCCAGCAGCCGCGGUAAUUC